UACAGAGGGGGCAAGCGUUGUUCGGAAUUACUGGGCGUAAAGGGCGCGUAGGCGGCCUUCUAAGUCGAACGUGAAAUCCCCGGGCUCAACCCGGGAACUGCGUCCGAUACUGGAAGGCUUGAGUUCGGGAGAGGGAUGCGGAAUUCCAGGUGUAGCGGUGAAAUGCGUAGAUAUCUGGAGGAAUACCGGUGGCGAAGGCGGCAUCCUGGACCGGCAUUGACGCUGAGGAGCGAAAGCCAGGGGAGCAAACGGG
rnacentral:rRNA from 1 species